AGCGAACGCUGGCGGCAGGCUUAACACAUGCAAGUCGAGCGGGCGUAGCAAUACGUCAGCGGCAGACGGGUGAGUAACGCGUGGGAACGUACCUUUUGGUUCGGAACAACACAGGGAAACUUGUGCUAAUACCGGAUAAGUCCUUACGGGGAAAGAUUUAUCGCCGAAAGAUCGGCCCGCGUCUGAUUAGCUAGUUGGUGAGGUAACGGCUCACCAAGGCGACGAUCAGUAGCUGGUCUGAGAGGAUGAUCAGCCACAUUGGGACUGAGACACGGCCCAAACUCCUACGGGAGGCAGCAGUGGGGAAUAUUGGACAAUGGGGGCAACCCUGAUCCAGCCAUGCCGCGUGAGUGAUGAAGGCCCUAGGGUUGUAAAGCUCUUUUGUGCGGGAAGAUAAUGACGGUACCGCAAGAAUAAGCCCCGGCUAACUUCGUG
rnacentral:rRNA from 1 species